CACACACGGUGAACAGGGGGCCACCGCACACGUCCAGGUCUCCCUCGUCGGCUCACGCGGCCACCAUCAGCACAGCAAUGGCAUCAUCAGCACCACGUUCCUCAGAAUCAACCUAGGAAUAAAGCCCAGAAGACUUAAUUAUGGCUUCAAGACGGAAUGCCGAUGUCAGUGUUCCUCACCAUGUAAAAAUAAAAUCGUAAUUGGUAAAAGUGUUAGGGAGAGUGGAGGAGAGGGAAGGGAUAGAUGCAUUGGCUGCUACUCUGGUCAUACGGUGGAAAAUCAAGAAACGCUUCUAGAGUUGGUGGAAAAACAAAUUCACAAAGGCGAGGAAGACGAGCUGAAGACAGCAACACCUUUGUCGGAUGUCGCUCAGGAGUGAUGGGAAGCAGUGUGAGUGUGGACAGCCUCCUUUCCAUGGUGUUCAGUGCGUCAGCAUUCGUUUCUGAAGCUGAAAACUUGAAAACCGGAGCUUGUAUCAGCUAGGAUAGACAAGGCUAUUCUGCGUAACAAACAACCUCAAACAUCUCAGUAAUGUGAUACAAUGAAGCUUAUCUCUCACUCGUGUGCACUACAGGGGGGUGGUCCUGGGCCCCCCGCAGUGGCUUUGGCCCCAGAGGUGGCCUCAGGCUGCGGCUUGGGUCCAGGCUCUGUGUUGCUCACAGGAAUUUGUAGAAUAAAAAGUGCGACUCAGAACCCCUUCUUCUGCGGGGCACCUUGGAUCUCGUGAUGUCUCCUCCAGCCACACCCUAGAUCAAAGGUUCGCAGACCCGGCUAGACCCUUGCCUUUUUGCGACUGUUGAGCUAAGAACAGUUUUUACACUUUUAAAUGAUUGAAAAAAAAUAUUGAAAGGUGAACGCUGUUCCAUGACGUGUGAAAAUUAUACAAAGUGCAAAUGCCAGUGUUCAGAAAUAAAGUUUUAUUGGAACAUA